rnacentral:rRNA from 1 species
UUAUACCGUGAAACUGCGAAUGGCUCAUUAAAUCAGUUAUCGUUUAUUUGAUAGUACCUUACUACUUGGAUAACCGUGGUAAUUCUAGAGCUAAUACAUGCUGAAAACCCCAACUUCGGGAGGGGUGUAUUUAUUAGAUAAAAAACCAACGCCCUUCGGGGCUUCUUGGUGAUUCAUGAUAACUUUACGGAUCGCAUGGCCUUGCGCCGGCGACGGUUCAUUCAAAUUUCUGCCCUAUCAACUUUCGAUGGUAAGGUAUUGGCUUACCAUGGUUUCAACGGGUAACGGGGAAUUAGGGUUCGAUUCCGGAGAGGGAGCCUGAGAAACGGCUACCACAUCCAAGGAAGGCAGCAGGCGCGCAAAUUACCCAAUCCCGACACGGGGAGGUAGUGACAAUAAAUACUGAUACAGGGCUCUUUUGGGUCUUGUAAUUGGAAUGAGUACAAUUUAAACCUCUUAACGAGGAACAAUUGGAGGGCAAGUCUGGUGCCAGCAGCCGCGGUAAUUCCAGCUCCAAUAGCGUAUAUUAAAGUUGUUGCAGUUAAAAAGCUCGUAGUUGAAACUUGGGUCUGGCUGGCAGGUCCGCCUCACCGCGUGUACUUGUCCGGCCGGGCCUUCCUUCUGGAGAACCUCAUGCCCUUCACUGGGCGUGUUGGGGACCAGGACUUUUACUUUGAAAAAAUUAGAGUGUUCAAAGCAGGCCUUUGCUCGAAUACGUUAGCAUGGAAUAAUAGAAUAGGACGUGCGGUCCUAUUUUGUUGGUUUCUAGGACCGCCGUAAUGAUUAAUAGGGACAGUCGGGGGCAUCAGUAUUCAAUUGUCAGAGGUGAAAUUCUUGGAUUUAUUGAAGACUAACUACUGCGAAAGCAUUUGCCAAGGGAUGUUUUCAUUAAUCAGUGAACGAAAGUUAGGGGAUCGAAGACGAUCAGAUACCGUCGUAGUCUUAACCGUAAACUAUGCCGACUAGGGAUCGG